rnacentral:rRNA from 1 species
AAUGAACGUUGGCGGCGUGGAUUAGGCAUGCAAGUCGAGCGCUCAUAGCAAUAUGGGAGCGGCGAACGGCGUAGUAAUAUGUAGGAACGUACCCUCGGGUCGGGGUUAGCCAUGGGAAACUGUGGGUAAUACCCGAUAAUCUCUGCGGAGCAAAGGUGUGAUUCCGCCUGAGGAGCGGCCUACACGAUAUUAGCUAGUUGGUAGGGUAAUGGCCUACCAAGGCUACGAUGUCUAGGGGGUGUGAGAGCAUGGCCCCCACGACCGGAACUGAGAUACUGUCCGGACACCUACGGGUGGCUGCAGUCGAGAAUCUUCCGCAAUGGACGAAAGUCUGACGGAGCGACGCCGCGUGCGGGAUGAAGGCCCUUGGGUUGUAAACCGCUGUCAGAGGGGAUGAAAUCUUCGGAGGUGCUCCUCCAAAGUUGACAGAGCCUCAAAGGAAGCACGGGCUAAGUACGUG